rnacentral:rRNA from 1 species
AUGGAGUCGCCGCCGCCGCCCAAGUUCGUCGCCGGCCAAGAUCGCGAGGACAGAAUCAGCGCGCUCCCCGACCACCUCCUCCUCGACAUCCUCGAGCGCCUCGACCUGCGCGAGGCCGUCCGCGCCGGCGCGCUCUCGACGCGGUGGCGGCGCCUCCCCAAGCACCUCUCGCGCGUGCACCUCAACGUCGGUCAAUUCCAGGGCGUCGUGCCGCUCGAGGCCAUGGACGCCUUCACGAGCGCCGCACGGGCCUUGCUGAAUGUGGUCGAGGGCCAGUGCGAGCGUGGUGCCCUCAAGGUCCUCAGCCUCAGCUUCUACAUCUCUUCCCCUCACUUGAGCUCCAUAGGCCGCCUCGUCGUGGACGUCGUGAGCUUGGGCCAGACCCAAUGCCUUGAGUUCUGCGUGUUACUGCCGCCCUCCAGCAACACCAUCCCACUGCUCGCCGAGAAUGGGCAGCAGUUCAUGUCCUUCUCCCGUGCCUAUCCAGUCGCCUUCUCGUGGCUCACCAGGCUUACACUCAAGAAACUUGUGUUUGGACAUUCGGACGUCACCGACCUCAUUACCGCUUGCGGUAGGCUCAGGCAUCUCUACCUCAGCUUCUGCAGACUAGCUGAUCCGUUCUCCGCGCUCAAGAUCGACGUGCCGCGCUCUGGGAUCCAGGAGCUCGAGUUCUCCUUCGUUGGGUGCACGGGAAUUGAGCUCAUUUCUGUCCCUAAGCUUAGGCGAGUGGGGUGCCAAAAUUGGAUCUUUGAGAACCCUCCAGUGUGCUUCGGCUACGUUCCUGAGCUUUGUGUUGUACAACUCUUUUCUAAAGCUAAGGAAUGGCAGGUGCCAUUCGCGCUGAGCGAGUGCCUGUCAAGGACAGGGAGUGCAAUGAACCUGUCAGAAUUGUAUCUCGAUUUUUUGCACCAAAUGAUUUGGAUUCAGCCUGAACAUCCGAAGCAGCUCACUGCUAUAUUCAAAAGCCUCACCUCUGUGUUUCUUUUGGGUAUCUUCAGUGAGUGUGAUCUGAACUGGACAUUGUUUAUCCUUGAAGCUGCACCUGCCCUACAGGAUAUUGCAUUAUCUCGACAUUCAUGUAUCAAGACUCCCGAGAACAGUGCCGAGAAGAGGAACGUGGUGUGGGAGCCAUCCAAGGAUUUGAAGCACCUGAACUUGAGGGUGCUGCUGAUCCAAGGGUGCGAGGAUGAAGACAAGGUGACUAACUAUGCAAGGCUAGUCAUGGAACGAGCUGUGGGGCUGAAGAGAAUCCUCUUGUGUGAUCAACUCCCAUGCGAGGACUGCAAUGCCAUCAACCCAGAGCCUUCCCUGAGAAGAUCCCAGGUUGAUGAAGCUAGCAGGCAUCGGAUUAAGGAGCGACUCACACGUGGAUCCUCCUCUUCCGUGGACAUAAUAAUCUGUUGA